GACGAACGCUGGCGGCGUGCUUAACACAUGCAAGUCGAACGAUGAUGCCCAGCUUGCUGGGUGGAUUAGUGGCGAACGGGUGAGUAACACGUGAGUAACCUGCCCCUGACUCUGGGAUAAGCGUUGGAAACGACGUCUAAUACUGGAUACGACUGCCGGCCGCAUGGUCUGGUGGUGGAAAGAUUUUUUGGUUGGGGAUGGACUCGCGGCCUAUCAGCUUGUUGGUGAGGUAAUGGCUCACCAAGGCGACGACGGGUAGCCGGCCUGAGAGGGUGACCGGCCACACUGGGACUGAGACACGGCACAGACUCCUACGGGAGGCAGCAGUGGGGAAUAUUGCACAAUGGGCGAAAGCCUGAUGCAGCAACGCCGAGUGAGGGAUGACGGCCUUCGGGUUGUAAACCUCUUUUAGUAGGGAAGAAGCGAAAGUGACGGUACCUGCAGAAAAAGCACCGGCUAACUACGUGCCAGCCGCCGCCGUAA
rnacentral:rRNA from 1 species